rnacentral:rRNA from 1 species
GACGAACGCUGGCGGCGUGCUUAACACAUGCAAGUCGAACGGAAAGGCCCUGCUUUUGUGGGGUGCUCGAGUGGCGAACGGGUGAGUAACACGUGAGUAACCUGCCCUUGACUUUGGGAUAACUUCAGGAAACUGGGGCUAAUACCGGAUAGGAGCUCCUGCUGCAUGGUGGGGGUUGGAAAGUUUCGGCGGUUGGGGAUGGACUCGCGGCUUAUCAGCUUGUUGGUGGGGUAGUGGCUUACCAAGGCUUUGACGGGUAGCCGGCCUGAGAGGGUGACCGGCAACAUGGGGACUGGGAUACGGCCCAGACUCCUACGGGAGGCAGCAGUGGGGAAUAUUGCCCAAUGGGCGGAAGCCUGAUGCAGCAACGCCGCGUGCGGGAUGACGGCCUUCGGGUUGUAAACCGCUUUCGCCUGUGACGAAGCGUGAGUGACGGUAAUGGGUAAAGAAGCACCGGCGAACUACGU